rnacentral:rRNA from 1 species
GUCCACGCCCUAAACGAUGUCAACUAGGUGUUGGGUGGGUAAAACCAUUUAGUACCGGAGCUAACGCGUGAAGUUGACCGCCUGGGGAGUACGGCCGCAAGGUUAAAACUCAAAGGAAUUGACGGGGACCCGCACAAGCGGUGGAUGAUGUGGAUUAAUUCGAUGCAACGCGAAAAACCUUACCUACCCUUGACAUGUCUAGAAUCCCUUAGAGAUUUGGGAGUGCCCGAAAGGGAGCUAGAACACAGGUGCUGCAUGGCUGUCGU